rnacentral:rRNA from 1 species
CKGCGYRYYUWACACAUGCAAGUCGAACGGUGAUCUCGGGGCUUGCUCCGGGUGAUCAGUGGCGAACGGGUGAGUAACACGUGAGCAACCUGCCCCUUACUCUGGGAUAAGCCUUGGAAACGAGGUCUAAUACCGGAUACGAGACGCACGGGCAUCUGUAGCGUCUGGAAAGAAUUUCGGUGAGGGAUGGGCUCGCGGCCUAUCAGCUUGUUGGUGGGGUGAUGGCCUACCAAGGCGACGACGGGUAGCCGGCCUGAGAGGGCGACCGGCCACACUGGGACUGAGACACGGCCCAGACUCCUACGGGAGGCAGCAGUGGGGAAUAUUGCACAAUGGGCGCAAGCCUGAUGCAGCGACGCCGCGUGAGGGAUGACGGCCUUCGGGUUGUAAACCUCUUUCAGCAGGGAAGAAGCGCAAGUGACGGUACCUGCAGAAGAAGCGCCGGCUAACUACGUGCCAGCAGCCGCGGUAAUACGUAGGGCGCAAGCGUUGUCCGGAAUUAUUGGGCGUAAAGAGCUCGUAGGCGGUUUGUCGCGUCUGCUGUGAAAACCUCAGGCUCAACCUGGGGCUUGCAGUGGGUACGGGCAGACUAGAGUGCGGUAGGGGUGACUGGAAUUCCUGGUGUAGCGGUGGAAUGCGCAGAUAUCAGGAGGAACACCGAUGGCGAAGGCAGGUCACUGGGCCGCAACUGACGCUGAGRRGCGAA